rnacentral:rRNA from 1 species
GACGAACGCUGGCGGCGUGCUUAACACAUGCAAGUCGAACGGUAAGGCUCUUUCGGGAGUACACGAGUGGCGAACGGGUGAGUAACACGUGAGCAACCUGCCUCUGACUUCGGAAUAACAGUUGGAAACAGCUGCUAAUACCGGAUAUGACCUGCCUCGUCAUCGGGGUGGGUGGAAAGUUUUUGCGGUCAGGGAUGGGCUCGCGGCCUAUCAGCUUGUUGGUGAGGUAAUGGCUCACCAAGGCUUCGACGGGUAGCCGGCCUGAGAGGGCGACCGGCCACACUGGGACUGAGAUACGGCCCAGACUCCUACGGGAGGCAGCAGUGGGGAAUAUUGCACAAUGGGCGGAAGCCUGAUGCAGCAACGCCGCGUGCGGGAUGACGGCCUUCGGGUUGUAAACCGCUUUCAGCAGGGACGAAGCGCAAGUGACGGUACCUGCAGAAGAAGGACCGGCUAACUACGUGCCAGCCGCCGCCGUAACAC